UACGUAGGGGGCUAGCGUUGCUCGGAAUCACUGGGCGUAAAGCGCACGUAGGCGGAUUGCUAAGUCAGGGGUGAAAUCCUGGAGCUCAACUCCAGAACUGCCUUUGAUACUGGCGACCUUGAGUCCGGGAGAGGUGAGUGGAACUGCGAGUGUAGAGGUGAAAUUCGUAGAUAUUCGCAAGAACACCAGUGGCGAAGGCGGCUGACUGGUCCGGUUCUGACGCUGAGGCGCGAAAGCGUGGGGAGCAAACAGG
rnacentral:rRNA from 1 species